CGGCAACGGAUAUCUCGGCUCACGCAUCGAUGAAGAACGUAGCAAAAUGCGAUACUUGGUGUGAAUUGCAGAAUCCCGUGAACCAUCGAGUUUUUGAACGCAAGUUGCGCCCAAAGCCUUUUGGCCGAGGGCACGUCUGCCUGGGCGUCACAC
rnacentral:rRNA from 1 species